CGAAUCGAAGGAUCUGAAACGUCGGCCG
rnacentral:sRNA from 1 species